rnacentral:rRNA from 1 species
UACGAAGGGGGCUAGCGUUGCUCGGAAUUACUGGGCGUAAAGGGCGCGUAGGCGGACAGUUUAGUCAGAGGUGAAAGCCCAGGGCUCAACCUUGGAAUUGCCUUUGAUACUGGCUGUCUUGAGUUCGGGAGAGGUGAGUAGAAUGCCGAGUGUAGAGGUGAAAUUCGUAGAUAUUCGGCGGAACACCAGUGGCGAAGGCGACUCACUGGCCCGAUACUGACGCUGAGGCGCGAAAGCGUGGGGAGCAAACAGG